GACGAACGCUGGCGGCGUGCCUAAUACAUGCAAGUAGAACGCUGAAGGAGGAGCUUGCUUCUCUGGAUGAGUUGCGAACGGGUGAGUAACGCGUAGGUAACCUGCCUGGUAGCGGGGGAGAACUAUUGGAAACGAUAGCUAAUACCGCAUAAUAGUAGAUGAUGCAUGACAUUUGCUUAAAAGGUGCAAUUGUAUCACUACCAGAUGGACCUGCGUUGUAGUAGCUAGUUGGUGAGGUAACGGCUCAACAAGGAAACGAUACAUAGCCGACCUGAGAGGGGUGAUGGCCCACCCUGGACCUGGACCCCGCCCCAGCUCCCUAGGGAAGCAGCCGUAGGGAAUCCUCGGCAAUGGACGGAAGUCUGACCGAGCCACCCCGCGUGAGUGAAGAAGGUUCUCGGAUCGUAAAGCUCUGUUGUAAGGGAAGAACGAGUGUGAGAGUGGACAGUUCACACUGUGACGGUACCUUACCAGAAAGGGGCGGCUAACUACGUG
rnacentral:rRNA from 1 species